UUAUCAAUUAAAAUUAGAAAAGCAAUUGUUUUUAAAUUCUAAUCUUCUUGUUUAGUUUAGUUUUCUAAAUUGUAAAUAUGUAUUUCGAAUUAUUACAGAAAUUUAAAUUAGCGGUAUAGAAUUGAAUACAAUAAUAAUUAUAACUUCAUUAAAUGCUAUCAAAAAUGUAACUCGAUGUACCAUCAGAUGAUCUACGUCAUUUAGUCUGGUAAUGUCUAGCCCAUGCGACAUUAUCACAACUAUUAUUGAUUUCACAUAACCCGACCAAAUAACGUAGGUUUGCCAUCUGCUUAUUAAUUUCCCUGAGGGUAAAUUAAAAUAAUGUAGAAUUUAUUAACCUUUUGAAGUAAGGUUGUAUAGCUUUAAUAUUUUAAUGUUUUCUAAUUGUAGUGAAAUAUUUUUUAUCUGUAUUUAUUUUCGAGUGUGUUGUGACCUUGACAUUUCAGGUAAGUAUUUGAGAUUUUUUUAUAUGAUACAUUGAUUUUAAUUUAGUAUCUUGUAUUAUUUUAUCUAAUAUUUGAUGAGUAAUAUCAUACUUGAAUGUCUAGACAAUUAAAAUAAUUUGAAACAAUCUUGAUGUUGGUUAAGCAAACUAUGUAAAAUUAGGUUUCUAAUGAACUAAAAUUAAAGUAAAACUAAAUUGUAAUUGGGGAUGCGAAAUACUAAAAAUCUUUAAUAAAAGAAAUGUUUUUACGGUCUGAUAUUUUAGGUCCAUUUGCGUGACUCUGGAGAUACAGGUAAUUUAUGGGAUAACUUUUAU